GUAAAGGCAUGAGGAUCUGAAGUUGUAGGUUAUUCUUGGCUGCAUAUCCAGCUCAAGGCCAACACGGCUACAUGAGCAUUUAUCUCAGAACAAAACCAAAACAGGGAAGUUACAAAAACCCUCUCUGUAUUUCUUUUCUGGGUCUCCCUUUCCCUCCCUCCCUCCUCAGGCAGAGUCCCAUGUAGGCAGGCUUGACCUUGAACUGGCUAUGUAGCUGAACUGACAUCGAAUUUCUGAUCCUCCUCCCAAGUGCUGGAAUUACAGACAACAGUUAUUUUUUGAUCUUCAGUACAGCCAUUCUGGAACUUUCUCCAACAUAUGCCAGUCCAGAUGAGCCUCCCUCAGGAACCAAACUACAAAUGUGACAUAGGCAGCUAGUAUAAUAAGUGAGAAGAACAGAAAAAUAUGUUACUACCUGUUCCUUCCCACAUGAUCCUCUGUGGAGAUCAACUUGCAACACAAGAGAAUGUCUUCCCCCACAGCAAAGUGGAAAGAUGUACAUUAUGUAAAGUCUCAUAUAUCUUUGGCUGGCCUUUGAACUCAAUAUAUGUCUUAUGAUGACCUUAAAUGAAUCCUCUGGUUAUCACCUCCCAAGCCUGGACUUAGAGAAGUGCAUCAUCGUAUCAGCUUUAUGUGGUCCCGGGGGAGCAGAUCUAUGGCUUCAUGCAUGAGCUAUAGCCCCAUCCCACAUCUCAUUUCUUUUUUUCCACUAGCCUGUCCAGAGCCAAU
rnacentral:lncRNA from 1 species